AAAGCCUCACAAGUUUUUAUUUGGCUUCUUAAUAAAAGCCGUAAAACUAGUGGAAUUGGAUUUGCGAUUCGAAUAGAAUUGCUAAUCUGAAAUAAAUUUCAUGAAGCCAAAAUGCUUCAAAUCUUUGCUUAAUAGUUUUGCUUUGCAAAUCUUUUGCAUCGGUUUAAGUGAAAAAGGUGGAUUGAUUUUUUACGAAAUACUCAAAAAUCUCAUU
rnacentral:misc_RNA from 1 species